CUUUACUAUAGCUUGACACUGAACAUUGAGCCUUGAUGUGUAGGAUAGGUGGGAGGCUUUGAAGCGUGGACGCCAGUCUGCGUGGAGCCGACCUUGAAAUACCACCCUUUAAUGUUUGAUGUUCUAACGUGGACCCGUGAUCCGGGUUGCGGACAGUGUCUGGUGGGUAGUUUGACUGGGGCGGUCUCCUCCUAAAGAGUAACGGAGGAGCACGAAGGUUGGCUAAUCCUGGUCGGACAUCAGGAGGUUAGUGCAAUGGCAUAAGCCAGCUUGACUGCGAGCGUGACGGCGCGAGCAGGUGCGAAAGCAGGUCAUAGUGAUCCGGUGGUUCUGAAUGGAAGGGCCAUCGCUCAACGGAUAAAAGGUACUCCGGGGAUAACAGGCUGAUACCGCCCAAGAGUUCAUAUCGACGGCGGUGUUUGGCACCUCGAUGUCGGCUCAUCACAUCCUGGGGCUGAAGUAGGUCCCAAGGGUAUGGCUGUUCGCCAUUUAAAGUGGUACGCGAGCUGGGUUUAGAACGUCGUGAGACAGUUCGGUCCCUAUCUGCCGUGGGCGCUGGAGAACUGAGGGGGGCUGCUCCUAGUACGAGAGGACCGGAGUGGACGCAUCACUGGUGUUCGGGUUGUCAUGCCAAUGGCACUGCCCGGUAGCUAAAUGCGGAAGAGAUAAGUGCUGAAAGCAUCUAAGCACGAAACUUGCCCCGA
rnacentral:rRNA from 1 species